UAAAUAUAAACAAAAUAAAAAUCAUAGUAAUAAAAAUGAAAGAGGAAAACUGUAAGUGCUGGAUUGCUCUUGUUAUCUCGUUCUUUGAUAUUUAGU
rnacentral:ribozyme from 1 species